CCCAUGCCAUUUCCAUACUUUCACCUUAUUUUCACUUGACUCUCAUGCAAUUGAAGAGAAAAAUAGAGAGAAUCAGCUAAGGAAAGAAAGGAGAGAAAUGUGAAAGGCUUGGGUAGUAAGUGAUUCAAGAGUAAUUAAAGAAAUAUCAAGUGGGUCUUAAGAUUCAAGAAACAUAAGCUAUGGUGACAAUGGGUGUGAGGAAAUUAUGAAUUUUGUUGGGGCAAAUCCAAGCUAAAACCAAGUAGGUUUCUGAGUUAAAGGUGACUGGUCCUAGGAUGAGGUGCUCCUUUUUAUCCAUUGCUCGGUAGGUUUACCAUGACACUAAAUGUUAACAACUGUGUCCAGAGUUACUCCGCUGACGGGUAAGGUCUAAUUAUGUGUAUAUGAAUGCUUGAUGUGAAAUGCUAAGACUUAUUUGUCAAGCUAUAUAUGUAUAUUAUAGUUGAUGAUGCUAUUAUGGAUACAUAAUUGGGUCUUAUGAAUUUUUUUC